rnacentral:lncRNA from 10 species
UAUUAAGAAUGGGGCCACAGUUUGGGUUUUAGCAACUGAUUGGAAAGUGAUGCCAUUCACAUUGGACACGUUUAAAUUUGAGACGCUAGUGGAACAACCAUGUAUAGACACCUACUCGGCAAUCCUGCAUAUGAUCUCAACAUCAGAAGAGAGAUGUGGGCUGAUGACACAGAACUGAGAAUAGCCAGCGUUGCCACUGGGAGUAACCAUCACAUAUGUGGCAAAAAAGGCCAUUGGCGCAGAUAUAAUCACCCAGGCGGGAUGUGUAAAAUGGAAAAAGAAGGCAACCUAGAAGCAGGAUUCAACGUAUCAGAUACAGUAAUGAAGACAAUAAGAAAUUGGAUUGAUCCAGGUCUGGAGUUUUGCCACAGAGUGAAAUGGAACAACAAUAUGCAGGAGAAGUGAGGAUACUUCCCAAGUGCUGAAGAAAGCUUUAUUACAUAUAAAAAAUAUGUAACCCACCUGGACUAAAAUGAAAAAGAAAAUUCAACUAUUAGAGAGAUCGGCCGACACUUAAGUGAAGCCUUCUCUGAACUGCUGUGGCCAGAAUUCUACUUGAAAAUUAUACAGAAACAAUUUCUUAGAAUGCUCACAAAAGACCUGAAAACAUG